rnacentral:lncRNA from 7 species
UGGCACACUGCUCGUGCAAAGGCGACGGCAGUAGCAGAUACAAAAGCAUCCACAGCAAGAUCAUCCCGCGAAAAAAGAAGUAUGAAAAAAAGCACGCGGAUCAGAUUUCAGAAUUCAGAUAGCUCCUCCGGGCCUCCCCGGCCAUUUUCUCGCCACUGCCGCUCCACAUGAAUGCGCAAGGAUCCGAGUGGCUUCUCGCUCAGUCCUCACCCCGGGCCACGGCUGCCCUAGCUACGCACCGGGACGUACGCAGCGGAGGGGCAGCACGGCGGGCGGCAGACAGACGGACAGAGCUCGUUUCGCAGCCGCUAGUUGUUCUCACCGGAACGCAUCGAUCGGAACUACAGAAGCAUGUGCCGUCUGCUUCUUCGUUUCCCCGCCCUGCUAGAGAUCGACGGCUCGCGCUAGCCCUAGCUGCGGCCUGCGGCUGCUGCAUGCAUAAUUGAGAUGUUUCUGUAGUUCUUUUUGGCAAUUCGUCUGCUUGUCUUCUCGUGACUCUGACGGCAAUGUGUACUAGUACUACUAGUACGCUUCUGUGUGCGUUUGUUUGUACAUAGAGAGUAGUGAUUCGAUUCCUCAGGAGUGUUGGGUAUAAGCGCCACACGUAAUUAGAUUGGAUCAGUUACCACAAACUUUGCUGGAAUAUGCCACGAAGCUUUUAGAGUUUUACUUGACC